CAUGCCGUGGGUGUGGCCCUAGAAAUACAAGACAGGCUGGUGCAAUCCAGUGGUGAGCUAAUAGUAAACCCCAGCUUAGGAAACAGGGUUGUUCUUCAUGUGGAUGACUCUGUGCCGAAAGCACAGACAGAAGG
rnacentral:snoRNA from 1 species